UACAGAGGUCCCAAGCGUUGUUCGGAUUCAUUGGGCGUAAAGGGCGCGUAGGCGGCCCGCACAAGUCUGCGGUGAAAACCCCCGGCUUAACCGGGGGCCGGCCGUGGAAACUGUCGGGCUGGAGGCUGGGAGAGGGCAGCGGAAUUCCCGGUGUAGCGGUGAAAUGCGUAGAGAUCGGGAGGAACACCGGCGGCGAAGGCGGCUGCCUGGACCAGUCCUGACGCUGAGGCGCGAAAGCUAGGGGAGCAAACAGG
rnacentral:rRNA from 1 species